GUGGCAUAUGGACUUCCCAGGCCAGGGAUCAGAUCCAAGGCAUAGUUGUGACCUACACCACAGCUGUGGCAACGCCAGUGUCUGUAACCCACUGUGCUGGGUCAGGGAUUGAAGGUACAUCCCCACAUUGCAGAGACACUGCUGAUCCCACUGUGCCACAGCGGGAAUGCCUCGACAUUCUUUUUUAUAAAUUCAAAAAGACAAAAAAGUCUUCCAUUAGAGCCUUCCAGAGAGCACCAAGCAAACCUGAAGCUCACAGAAAGCACUUAAGUCUGCCAGCAGACAUUUCUAUUUGUGUACAGGCUAAGGGCGGGGGGAAUAAAGAUGUCUUUGAUUCCACAGCACCCACCCAAGCUCUCAGCACUAAAAAGCCAAUUAGAGGAGUUCCCACUGUGGCACAGUGGAUGAAGAAUCUGACUGCAGCAGCUCAGAUCACUACAGAGGCACAGGUUUGAUCCCUGGCCCAGUGCAAUGGGUUAAAGGAGCUGGCGCUGCCACAUCUGCAGCUUGGAUUCAAUUCCUGGCCCGAGAACUUCCAUAUGCUGAGGGCGCAGCCAUAAUAUUUAAAAAAAAAAAAAAAAGAUCAAACGGAAAAGAAUCUACUCUGUAGAUACCAGUCCCCAACCUCUAACCUUCAUUUCACUGAGUCAAAACUGAAGCAAAGCUGCUUAGGAGCUCUGUGGAGUAUUCCAAGGGAUCACCGCUGAUUUCCUAACAGUAGCGUAAGAUGAGAUUCGCGCCAAGCUUCCUCAUUCAUUAACAAGAAGUGCUGCCAGGCUGCCCAGAAAUUCCCCGCCUGAGUCCCAGGGCCAUCCCGGAAACAUGAGAAACCAAGAAUGCUGCAAUCAUGGCCUUUUUGGUAUUGGGUCAAAAAAAAAAAAAAAGUGCCUAGGUUAAGACUAUACAUGAAACAGUAUUCAGUGAAAAACUAAACAAAGAUGUUUCAUUUACUCAGCACAGCUAUCAAGGGCAGACCUAGUAUCAUACAGCGGUAGUUUCCGAUCUUAUUUAAUGAUAAACACCCAGUAGAAAGCCUCCAGUCACAGGUAAUUAUACCAUACCCUCAGAUCAUUAAUGACAUGGAUGGAAAACACAGGCCUACAGGUUCAUGGGCAAUAGGCUGGCAGAAUUCUGAGCAAAGGAUAAGUAAUAAGGUCAGAAUUCUUUUAGUGUGGAAUCUUUAAGGGGAAAGAAGGCACAGGUAGGUAAUAAUAACAAAAACUCAUAUAUGCAAGGAUUCGUUCUAAGCACGUGAAGAGUAGUAACUCAUUUGAAACUCACUACCAACUCUUUUAAGAUUGGUAUUAUCCAUCCCCAUUUUAAGUAUGUGGACACAAAAGAACAAAGAGGCCAAGCAACUCGCUCAACGUUUUACGCAGCCACGAGUGCUGCAAACUAGGCCGGGUUCAGAUUCCACAGGAGUCAAGGGCGAAACACAGUGCCCCCUGGUUUCACCCAUAUUCACUAGAAUUACCGCCAGCAAAAGUUUCUGGAAACCUGUCUCCUCUUGCCUCUCUCCUUCCAUAUAAUUUCUGCUUUUGCUUUUCACUUUAAAGAGAUGUCACAUUCCCUUAACUUCCUAACACUCCCUCUGGAGCAGUGGACAGGAAAACUCAAGCCCAGGUUCCUCAGCUUCUCCUCCAACGACGCGCUUUGAAAUAGUCGGACAUAUAAAGGGAAUUUGGAGAAACCAAGUAAAAAUGAACCCAAAGGAGGAACAUCAAAAAGUAAACACAGCUUGAAAAGCAGGGACACAUGAAAUCUAACAGACAGAGAGUAACUACCCCAUUCACAUAUCCUGUGCAAUAAUGCCCCCUACACAAGUACCUGGAGCCUGGAACCUGCACAAAAAGCCUGAAAACCUAUCUACACAAAAAGUAUUCAGCAGCCUGUCCAGGCCCUACACCUUAAGGCGCUCCUUGGAUGUCGGGUGCAGUAAAAUGAAUUCUUUUGUUGAAGAAAAGGCGAGGUCCCUGCGACCUCGGGCUUUCGCUCCCCGUCCCCCUCCUCUUGGUCUUCCUUCGAAUAACGCGGUUCCAUCUGGACCCAGCGCCCAGGCCCUCCCCGCCGGCGUCGCCCCCCGUAGCCCCGCUCCGCGCCCCGCGUGCCCCAUACUGGCCCCGGCGCCAGCACCCAAGCCGGCCCCCCAGGCGCCUGGAGCCCACCCCACCCCAGUGGGGAAAGCGGGUCUCCAGCGUGACCCCUGACCUGGCCCGCUCCUCGCCUUACCGGUUCCGCCACCACCUCACAAGCGGUCCCCGAGCGGGUGGCUCCAUAUCCCGGGAGCCAGCGCCACGCCAACCUACCCACUACACGCCCAGCGAUUGGCCGACAGGACCACAACCGCACAUUCCUAUUGGCUGGGUUCCCGUAUUCCCGUAGCGGCCCGCGCGCGUGGCGGGCAGACUGAGUAUCCAGAGGCUCCGCCCACCCUUGAUCAGACUGGAGGCGGAGCCACUGCGGCCCGGCCUGGAGCUCUCUGCUGCAGAGUCAGUGCUCUCGCUGGUCCAACCCAAAGUGUGGAUUGGAGUCUCCCAUCCCGCUGGCAGUCUGGAGACUCUAAGAUUCCUGCAGUAGUUCGCCGCGACCUCACGUUAGAUCCUGGAAAUCAAGACUAUUUCUUCUGAGACACGGCUCUGCAAGAGAUGCAGCUCCACCCUGUAAAAUAGAGCCACCUGGCAGGAUCUUUUCCUCUCCCUCGCAGAGCCACAUCAUAGCAUCUGCCGCCCCACCGAGAGCACCCCAAACCUGGGAGGAACCUCGAAGCAUCUUGUGCAGCCAGUUCGACUACAUCAAUCUCCUACUCCCAAGCCUGGGCAAUGACUUGUUUUCUUCCCUCCUAACAAGCUGCCUCACUUCUUCCCCAAAACUUUAUUCCCCACCUACCCAAAAUCAAUCCCACUCUGCCCCCAGCCUCAUUCUCACACCCCAGAUUCUUUCUCUGAAGGUGAUGGCCAGAUCAAUUGUGCUUUAAAGCGGAGAAAAUAGUCUGACUAACCACCCUAAUUUUCUACAGUGUCAUUACCAGAAACAGAUUUACCAGAAACAUUCUUAGAUACCCCUCUCCCCACUCUCCACACCCGUCACCUUACCGCUUUCAUCAAAGGUAACCAAGCUUGUCUAACCAAGUCAUAGGCUUAGAGAGAAAGAACAUAAGCCCCUCAGACUUCUUUCUUCAUGUAAAAACUGCUAGGAGAAAAUUUUAUUAGUUGGUAAAUGUUAAGAGAAAGAGGGUAAACUGCAAAAAGGAAAAUCCAGAUAAAGUACAAAGUUAAAAAAAAAAAUUCAGGAACCCCCCAAAAAACUGGGCUGAGCAUCAGUUAUCCCGUACAGGCUUGUUUCCAUACAGAAUUUCUCCUAGAGAGAAAAAAAAUGCACAAAUUAGUUCUGAGAAUCUCUCUAACAACACACCUGGGAAAUUUUCAGAAAGGCUUGAUGAAGUCCCUCCAGACCAGAACCUUUCUUUUGGGAACUUGUAGUGCAACUAGAAUAUAGAAUGGCUGGAGCCAUUCUUAUUGCUGUCCCAAGUCGGCUAAGGUGGGCAACUUCCCUGGGCUGUUCCACACUUGCUGGCUACUUACUUAGCUCACAGCAUGGGGCUGCCUCCUUCUUCUCCUUCUUCAUUGUGCUUGAAGGGUUUGCCUUUUCCC
rnacentral:lncRNA from 1 species